UACGGAGGGAGCUAGCGUUAUUCGGAAUUACUGGGCGUAAAGCGCACGUAGGCGGCUUUUGUAAGUUAGAGGUGAAAGCCUGGAGCUCAACUCCAGAAUUGCCUUUAAGACUGCAUCGCUUGAAUCCAGGAGAGGUGAGUGGAAUUCCGAGUGUAGAGGUGAAAUUCGUAGAUAUUCGGAAGAACACCAGUGGCGAAGGCGGCUCACUGGACUGGUAUUGACGCUG
rnacentral:rRNA from 1 species